GAUACGGGGACGUACAGUAAUGUCAUGAACUGGUGAGUAAUUCCUUGAUUUUGCAAUACCACCUAGGGAUAGGGUUAGGAUGAACAAUUGCUUUUAACUUCUGCUCUGUAAUGCUGUAUUAAUUGCUAGGGGAGGCUAGGGAUAGCAAGCCAGUAAUUAGUAUUAGGCUCUUUUCGCCGAGGGAUUGGGUUAAGGGUAGGCUAAGAAAGUUGCAUGACAAUUAAUUAAUCAAACUAAUAAUUCAAGAGGAGUAAAUAAGAGAGUGUAGAUAACAUGAAUUUGUAAACCCCCAACAACUCCAUUCAUCCAUUGUUUUUCUUUUGUCAAUUGAAUAAAUCUCUUUUGCAUGUUAAUAUUUUUGUUCUCAAAUCAAAUUAAU
rnacentral:lncRNA from 1 species